rnacentral:rRNA from 5 species
AAUACAUUUUUACAAUACUGUGAACAAACCAGAGUGUAUAAAACAUGUAAUAUAUUAUAUAUUUAGCAAUGAAUGUUUUAUCAUGGAAUAUUGCUUUUUAAUAUAAUAUCGAUGGAGAUAGUUGGAGUUAAGAGUACUGAUAGGCGAGCGGUGAAAUGCAUUGACCCUAUUAAGACUAACAAAAGCGAAAGCACUUAACUAGAUUAUUCUCUUUGUAUUAUUACAAUGAAGAGCGAAGGUUGGGGGAACAAAGAGGAUCAGAUACCCUCGUAGUCCUAUUUUUACAUCAAACUAUGGGAUUUCAAUCACAAAUAAAAAACCAAAUAUAAUUGAGUAUAUAAUUAUUUACUCUUAUAUUUAAUAUAUAUUAUUGAUUAUAUGUACUUUGAGCUCAUAUAAUUAUAUAGGUGAGAUGUAAGCAUUAUAGGUGAAUAAUAUAUAAGUAAUAUUAUAUUAUUAUGAUCCUUAUUUAUAAAAAUGUAAUGUGAUG